rnacentral:rRNA from 1 species
CUUGCGGGUGCUACCUGCAAGUCGAACGUGAUCCGCCCUUCGGGGUGGUGAAAGUGGCGCACGGGUGAGUAACGCGUGGAUAAUCUGCCCGAGGAUUUGGGAUAACAUCUCGAAAGGGGUGCUAAUACCGAAUAAGCCCACGGGGUCUACGGAUCUUGCGGGAAAAGGGGGGGACCUUCGGGCCUCCUGUCCUUGGAUGAGUCUGCGUACCAUUAGCUAGUUGGUGGGGUAAUGGCCUACCAAGGCGACGAUGGUUAGCUGGUCUGAGAGGAUGAUCAGCCACACUGGAACUGAGACACGGUCCAGACUCCUACGGGAGGCAGCAGUGGGGAAUUUUGCGCAAUGGGGGAAACCCUGACGCAGCAACGCCGCGUGGGUGAUGAAGGCCUUCGGGUCGUAAAGCUCUGUCUGGAGGGAAGAAAUGAUUGGGAGCUAAUACCUCUUGAUCUUGACGGUACCUCUGAAGGAAGCACCGGCUAACUCCGUGCCAGCAGCCGCGGUAAUACGGAGGGUGCAAGCGUUGUUCGGAAUUAUUGGGCGUAAAGCGCGUGUAGGCGGUCUUUUAAGUCUGAUGUGAAAGCCCCGGGCUCAACCUGGGAAGUGCAUUGGAAACUGGGAGGCUUGAGUACGGGAGAGGAGAGUGGAAUUCCUAGUGUAGGAGUGAAAUCCGUAGAUAUUAGGAGGAACACCGGUGGCGAAGGCGGCUCUCUGGACCGAUACUGACGCUGAGACGCGAAAGCGUGGGUAGCAAACAGGAUUAGAUACCCUGGUAGUCCACGCCGUAAACGAUGAGUACUAGUGUUGCGGGUAUUGACCCCUG